UACGGGGGGGGCAAGCGUUGUCCGGAAUUAUUGGGCGUAAAGAGCUCGUAGGCGGUCUGUCGCGUCUGCUGUGAAAACUCAGGGCUUAACCCUGAGCUUGCAGUGGGUACGGGCAGACUAGAGUGCGGUAGGGGAGACUGGAAUUCCUGGUGUAGCGGUGAAAUGCGCAGAUAUCAGGAGGAACACCGGUGGCGAAGGCGGGUCUCUGGGCCGUAACUGACGCUGAGGAGCGAAAGCAUGGGGGAGCGAACAGG
rnacentral:rRNA from 1 species